GUGGGGAAUAUUGGACAAUGGGCGAAAGCCUGAUCCAGCCAUGCCGCGUGUGUGAAGAAGGUCUUCGGAUUGUAAAGCACUUUAAGUUGGGAGGAAGGGCAGUAAGUUAAUACCUUGGUGUUUUGACGUUACCAACAGAAUAAGCACCGGCUAACUUCGUGCCAGCAGCCGCGGUACUCCGAAGGGUGCAAGCGUUAAUCGGAAUUACUGGGCGUAAAGCGCGCGUAGGUGGUUUUGUAAGUUGGAGGUGAAAUCCUCGGGCUCAACCUGGGAACUGCCUCCAAAACUGCAUGACUAGAGUACGGUAGAGGAUAGUGGAAUUUCCGGUGUAGCGGUGAAAUGCGUAGAUAUAGGAAGGAACACCAGUGGCGAAGGCGACUACCUGGACUGAUACUGACACUGAGGUGCGAAAGCGUGGGGAGCAAACAGGAUUAGAUACCCGUGUAGUCC
rnacentral:rRNA from 1 species